UGUAGGAGUGAGCCUGCUCGCGAUAGCGGUGUGUCAGUGACAAACUCAGUGACUGGUACGACGCUAUCGCGAGCAGGCUCACUCCUACA
rnacentral:misc_RNA from 1 species